UACGUAGGGUGCGAGCGUUGUCCGGAAUUAUUGGGCGUAAAGGGCUCGUAGGCGGUUUGUCGCGUCGGGAGUGAAAACCUUGGGCUUAACUCAGGGCUUGCUUUCGAUACGGGCAGACUAGAGGUAUGCAGGGGAGAACGGAAUUCCUGGUGUAGCGGUGAAAUGCGCAGAUAUCAGGAGGAACACCCGUGGCGAAGGCGGCUCUCUGGAACGCAACUGACGCUGAGACGCGAAAGCGUGGGGAGCAAACAGG
rnacentral:rRNA from 1 species